rnacentral:rRNA from 1 species
AAAAGUUACAAAGGGCGUACGGCGGAUGCCUAGGCUUUGAGAGGCGAUGAAGGACGUGAUAAGCUGCGAUAGGCUUCGGGGAGUGGCACAUACACAUUAUAUCCGAAGAUUUCCGAAUGGGACAACCCGGCAUGUUGAAGACAUGUCACUGCGUAAGCAGAGCGAGCGUUGGGAACUGAAACAUCUAAGUACCAAUAGGAAAAGAAAUCAAUUGAGAUUCCGUAAGUAGUGGCGAGCGAACGCGGAUUAGCCCUAAAGACUUUAUAAAGAUAACAGAAUAACCUGGAAAGGUUAACCGAAGAGGGUGAUAGUCCCGUAAGUGAAAUUUUUAUAAGGUUGAUAACGAGUAAGGCGGAACACGAGAAAUUCUGUCCGAAUAUGGGAGGACCAUCUUCCAAGGCUAAAUACUCCUCAAAGACCGAUAGUGAACUAGUACUGUGAAGGAAAGGUGAAAAGCAUUUCGAAUAGAAAGUUGAAAUAGAACCUGAAACCGUACGCCUACAAGCGGUCGGAGCACGUAAGUGUGACGGCGUGCCUUUUGCAUAAUGAGCCUACGAGU